GUCUGAGCAGCAGAAGUGCUGCUGAGCUGGCACUGAUGUUUGGAGAGGAUAAUGCUAUAGCUUUUCUGGCUUCCCAUGCUCUGAUGUGAAAAACUCUGAUCACAGGGCCAGGUCACUGUUGUCAUUCAUUACACUAAGAGAGGUUUGCUAACAGAGCACAGAUUUGUUGUUGUAGCAGAAAUGCUGAGUCAGGGCCUGAAGCAGUGAUGGAGCACCUGGUGGGAAGGCAGGGCCAAUCCAGGGCAGCUCAGGUGCAUGCAAUGUACCUGAGUGAUGAAGGGGUGGAGCCAGGAUCCUCCCCUUCCCAGACCUCAUUUAAGGGCUCACAGCCCAUGUGGGGAGGAGGGUUUUUGCUGGAUAUCCCUGUCUAUCUGAGGCCUUCUGAAGGUGUCAGCCAUGCGUGUUUGAAGCUGGCUGCAGUUAUGGUGAUGCAGGUGGAAGAAUAUGACCAACUCUGACAACAUACAAGUGCUGAUGCCUAUUCUGCCCAGGAAUCAGUCGGUAUUACUGUAAAACUUCCCGUCACCAAGCUCUGCUUUGAUGGAUGACCAAAGUAGCUGCUAUUCUAUUCAAAGAUCAUUGCUGCUUCCGCUCUGCUGGGCUGAGGUGCCAGAGAGUCCUGGGCUCAGAAAUGGAGAAGAGGAACGCUUAGGAUUGAUGCUUGGACUUGGAGAUCCUCGAGGUCUUUCCCAACCUUGAUGACAGUAAGCAAAGAGCACCACAGCCACAAGGGUCACCAGUGCUCAGCCCGGGGCUGAUGGGGAGCUGAGGGCAGGAUGCAGCGAGCUCUGUACCUGAGGGAGGGAUGGGGAACCUCAUCCUUGGGAAGAGGCUGUGAUGUGAACACCAAUGAGGAUCUCUUGGGAAAAGAAGCUUCCUGAGAAGUUCCCAGUGCCUCCUGAUCUUCACAGCAGAGAAACUGUUUACUUUCUGCAGUCAGAACUGGAUCACAGCCCCAUUCACUGAAAAAUUUUGCUCUGAAAAGCAAAAAGCACCAAGCAGUGGAAAACUUUCCAAACCACAAAUAAAUGUUUAUUU
rnacentral:lncRNA from 7 species